rnacentral:rRNA from 1 species
CACGCUGUAAACGAUGGAUGCUCGGUGUCGGGGGUAUCGACCCCCUCGGCGCCCAAGGAAACCCGGUAAGCAUCCCGCCUGGGGAGUACGGCCGCAAGGUUGAAACUCAAAGGAAUUGACGGGGGCCCGCACAAGCGGUGGAGCAUGUUGUUCAAUACGUCACUAACCGUAGAACCUUACCAGGUCUUGACAUCUUCGGAACCCUCUGGAAACGGGGGGGUGCCCUUCGGGGAGCCGAAAGACAGGUGU